rnacentral:rRNA from 1 species
UACAGAGGGGGCAAGCGUUGUUCGGAAUUACUGGGCGUAAAGGGCGCGUAGGCGGCCUGCUAAGUCGAACGUGAAAUCCCCGGGCUCAACCCGGGAACUGCGUCCGAGACUGAAAGGCUCGAAUCCGGGAGAGGGAUGUGGAAUUCCAGGUGUAGCGGUGAAAUGCGUAGAUAUCCGGAGGAACAUCGGUGGCGAAGGCGGCAUCCUGGACCGGUAUUGACGCUGAGGCGCGAAAGCCAGGGGAGCAAACGGG